rnacentral:rRNA from 1 species
GACGAAUGCUGGCGGCGUGCUUAACACAUGCAAGUCGAGCGGUAAGGCCCUUUCGGGGGUACACGAGCGGCGAACGGGUGAGUAACACGUGGGUGACCUGCCCUCAGCUCUGGGAUAAGCCUGGGAAACUGGGUCUAAUACUGGAUAUGACUCCACGGUGCAUGUCGUGGGGUGGAAAGCCUUGUGCGGCUGAGGAUGGGCCCGCGGCCUAUCAGCUUGUUGGUGGGGUGAUGGCCUACCAAGGCGACGACGGGUAGCCGGCCUGAGAGGGCGACCGGCCACACUGGGACUGAGACACGGCCCAGACUCCUACGGGAGGCAGCAGUGGGGAAUCUUGCGCAAUGGGCGAAAGCCUGACGCAGCGACGCCGCGUGAGGGAUGACGGCCU